rnacentral:rRNA from 1 species
UACGUAGGGUGCAAGCGUUAAUCGGAAUUACUGGGCGUAAAGCGUGCGCAGGCGGUGAUGUAAGACAGGUGUGAAAUCCCCGGGCUUAACCUGGGAACUGCAUUUGUGACUGCAUCGCUGGAGUGCGGCAGAGGGGGAUGGAAUUCCGCGUGUAGCAGUGAAAUGCGUAGAUAUCUGGAAGAACACCAGUGGCGAAGGCGGUCAACUGGCCCGUAACUGACGCUCAGGCACGAAAGCGUGGGUAGCGAACAGG